AACACUUAAGUUAUAGUCGAAAAUAUAUCCUCAUACUGAUCUCACUUCUAUCAGCAGCCGCAAGCAUUUUCGGUAUGCAUCAAUAUGCGAGCGCAUGUGUGAGAAAGAGAUGGCAUUAUAAUCGACGCGAGCGUCAAUAUGUCUUCGUGUGUAUUUUGGAGAGCCCCAUUACCCCGUUACGAUUGCGUGUAUGUAUAUAUGUAAGUAUUUAUAUAUAUGCACGUGUUUGUAGCCAGUCAGUUCGGGAUUGUGAAUAAAAAUAUUCGCUGCCCUACUUUUUUUAGUACCUGCCAUAUGAAAGGAAUGCACUUGCAGAUCUGCUCACAAUGGGUGCAAAACUUUUUAGUGGCAAAUUUUCCAAUAAAACUAAUAUAUUUAACAGCUGGGUUCAAGGUACAUCGUGUAUAUCGUAGUCAAGCUCACUCGACUACAGCACUCUUACUUGUUAACAUAGAAACAGUAUUUUGCCUUUAUAAAUUAAGUGUUAGCCAAAUACUGUUGGACACAAAAAGGGAAAUAGUUCGGCUAAUACAUGUUUGGACACGGCCAACCCGCAGCUUCUAACAAGCAAGGCUCUAAAAAUUAAGAAGAUUUACAUUUGCACAGUUUUCUACAUACUCAAAAAUAUAUCGAUAUCCUGACAAGCGAUAUACCUGCUGGUCUCUAGUUUGUCUGCAACAGCACACAGCUGAAAUUCGUGCAACUCAAGCAGCAGAAAUCUAAAGAUUUUGCAAUGAUACCAAGGCAUACCCAUCCAAUCAAAAUAAAAAUGCAAUCAACAGGUAAUACAAUUUUUUAUUAAAAGGGUGAAUUACAAAGAGAACACAACGUUGGAUCACCGAAUAAUCAAAAUAUUUACAGAAAAUAUUAUUUUAAAAAUCCAUGCGGUAAUCAAGUAAGCCCACGAUUUUUUGGUAUGGUGAAUCAGAAAUGAUUCUAGAUUGUACACCACAGCUUGAACUUGAAAAAAAGAUUACAAAUUAUGAAAAGCGUGCUCAAAAGAUUGGGAUAUUUGAUUUGAGCAUUAUUAACUAGGAUAUUAGUAAUAGUUUUUUAUGUGAAUA